AUUGAACGCUGGCGGCAGGCCUAACACAUGCAAGUCGAACGAGUGGCGGACGGGUGAGUAAUGUCUGGGACACUGCCUGAUGGAGGGGGAUAACUACUGGAAAGGGUAGCUAAUACCGUAUACUAUCGGCUGUGCACAUAUGGGAUUAGCUAGUAGGUGGGGUAAGGGCUCACCUAGGCGACGAUCCCUAGAGGGUCUGAGAGGAGGACCAGCCAAACGGGAACUGUGACACGGUCCAGACUCCGACGCGAGGCAGCAGGGGGGAAUAUGGCACAAUGGGCGCAAGCCUGAUGCAGCCAUGCCGCGUGUAUGAAGAAGGCCUUCGGGUUGUAAAGUACUUUCAGCGGGGAGGCGUUACGCGCAGAAGAAGCACCGGCUAACUCCGUGCCAGCAGCCGCGGUAAUUC
rnacentral:rRNA from 1 species